UCUGGCUGUGCUAGAUAGGGCCCCUAGAGCCACAGCUUAGUGGCUACCUGGCCUGGACCCAGGGAGAGGACAGGGCCACCUAGGGCUCUGUGUGUCACAGGACGCAGCCUCUGUGACCACUUCCCCCCCCAACCAUGUUUGUACCAUCAAGGGGCCCAGCGGAAGUCAGUGUGUGGGCGUCUGUGGGAAGGACUUCACUGGAAGAAGCCCCGGCUGCAAGCAGAUGGCCGAGGCUCAGUGGGCCAGCCAUGCUGUUCAGGACCAGACACAUGUCCACCCUGUCUUUGCUGCUCCUAGACUAGAGAGUGAGGGUCAGCCUCACGGUCACUUCCAGCAUCCUCUCUAUGCCUAUCCUGCCUGGGCCAGGGGACAUAGUCAUAGGCACAUGGACACCCAGUGCAUGUGUGGCUGUGAUCUGAGCAGCAGGUGGGCUGGGACCGUGAGACACACACCCCUAAGCUCCUCAGUCCCUGAAGAUCUGGCUCCUGCCUCUUUCCUGUCUCUCUGGUCUGUUGCCCCCCCCCACCCCCAAAGGCCAUGUCAUGGAAAAGCUUGUCUUGGGGCGGGGACAGGAAGUUGCUGGGCGGAGGCCAGGCCCACGGUAGCGGGCAGAUAAAGGCUGGUGGCUUGUCCAAGGGGUAGCCAGGCAUUGGGGACAGAGGACCAAAUCAAAGCCCAGAGGUCAGCGAGAGGGCCUUCUCUACACCCUGCAGGGGACCCCGCCUACUGAGCGCGGAGCGCGGAACUCCGACUCGCGUUCGUAGGAACCUGCACCCUCCGGCUUGGAACUUGGUGGUGCCCCGAGCCACCGCCUGAGAGCGCCUCCGCAGCACGCAGCUGUAACCGGGGGGCCACCGCCCGAGCGCGCCGCCGGCCCCGAUUGCACCUGGGGUGACCGCGGGACGGUUCUGGCGAAUCUCCCCGCGCGCCCCUCUGGCCAGCCGGGCAGUCCGCGUCCUCCCAGGUCCUGCCCGGGAUUCUGUCCGCGCCAUCCCCGCGCAACUGGGUCCGGGGCGCGCGGCCCAUCCGCGCACGGGCUGCGGUGGUGGAGCCCCGCCCGCCACGCCCCCUGCCCGCCGCCGGACUCGGCGCCAGCUCCUCAGAGGUCGGGGCGGCCUAGGCGGGCACGCGAAGGGCUCGGCGAUGUCUGCGGAGGCCUUCUGCGCGGUCGCUUUUGCUGCUGUCGCUGUGCUGCGGGUGUACCCAAGGCCUCGCCCAGCUCCAUUUUUUUUUCCUCCUUAUGGAAAAUCCUAAUCAAAUUACUUAAUUCUAGGUAUGAGUGGCGGGUUCAGGGUGUUUCGUUACUGUUACUAUUCUUGCACCUUUUUCCCUCCAAAAGUUUUUAGUUGGCUUCAAAUAAACUGUUUUUCAGUUCCAAGA